AUUAGACGAAUCAUCUGGAAAGAUGAAUCAAAGAAGGUAAUAAUCCUGUAGUCGAAAAUGUUGUCUCUCUUGAGUGGAUCCUGAGUACGACGGAGCACGUGAAAUUCCGUCGGAAUCUGGGAGGACCAUCUCCUAAGGCUAAAUACUCUCUAGUGACCGAUAGUGAACCAGUACCGUGAGGGAAAGGUGAAAAGCACCCCGGAAGGGGAGUGAAAUAGAACCUGAAACCGUGUGCUUACAAGUAGUCAGAGCCCGUUAAUGGGUGAUGGCGUGCCUUUUGUAGAAUGAACCGGCGAGUUACGAUUUGAUGCAAGGUUAAGCAGUAAAUGUGGAGCCGUAGCGAAAGCGAGUCUGAAUAGGGCGUUUAGUAUUUGGUCGUAGACCCGAAACCAGGUGAUCUACCCUUGGUCAGGUUGAAGUUCAGGUAACACUGAAUGGAGGACCGAA
rnacentral:rRNA from 1 species